UACGAAGGGGGCUAGCGUUGCUCGGAAUUACUGGGCGUAAAGGGCGCGUAGGCGGAUAGUUUAGUCAGAGGUGAAAGCCCAGGGCUCAACCUUGGAAUUGCCUUUGAUACUGGCUAUCUUGAGUUCGGGAGAGGUGAGUGGAAUGCCGAGUGUAGAGGUGAAAUUCGUAGAUAUUCGGCGGAACACCAGUGGCGAAGGCGACUCACUGGCCCGAUACUGACGCUGAGGCGCGAAAGCGUGGGGAGCAAACAGG
rnacentral:rRNA from 2 species